GGAUGAGUGUUUUCAGAAGCUAAGGGAUGAGUAUUUUCAAAAGCUCUAUAGAUGGCGAACUGCCACAUUUUCAUAGCUCUGCUCUAUGUUUCUCUCUGAGAACAUACACAUUGUCAAGGUAAAUUAAACACACAUUAUGAAGAGUAUCUAGUUUUUGCACAAAUUGCUUGAGAGACUGUAGCUGGGUAGCCAUAUAAGCAGGGCAAACAGCAAGUUCAUUAAUACACACUUUUAAAAGCACGGCUAAGGGAGAUAAGCAUCCAUUUGGCAAAAUUAAUUCCAAAAUAAAAGGCUCCGGAGAGUAGGCUGAAUCGGAGAAAAGAACAUUUGACUGGAGACAUAUAGCCAUUAAUGAAAUGAUUGAGUUACUCAGUGGCAUGAUGUCAAUAAAAGGGGAUAUUAGACCAGAUUGAUCAGGAAUUCUGAAAAAGGCUGCAGAGUAUGUGUCAGUCCUGGGAGUACAUUUCCCCAUCUGCCAUUGUGGAAUACGGUUGCAUUUCUUAUUGACAUUGUUUACUUAAUUCUUUAUUUAAAGGAAUAAUAGUUCACUUUACUGGUGUUAAGGCAGUUUUUGUGUUUUCCCCCUUUUAUUCAAGCACUGAUACAGUUAAGUUUGGGUUCUGAACAUUUUCAGCAUAUCAAAGUAAAGUGAUGCAACAUUCAAUCCUAGUCUAUUUAGGGCCAGUUUUUAUUUUGUUUUGUUUAUAUACUGCUUACUAGAACAAAAGAAUUUUAAUCAGUUUGCAUUGUGACCUGUCAUGCGAUGAAAGGCCGAAAACAAAGUAAUGUACAAUAAAUCAUUCAUUCUCACCAAUGUGAUUUGGUAAUCAGAUAAGGUUUUGAAGUUAAAAGUCAUACAACCAAAAGUAUCACAUAGAAAGGAUAAAUGUCCCACAGACAUUAUUUUAUAGUCAUUUUAUUAUUUACCAAAUUCAAAUGCUUCCUUUUUUCCAUAACAGAACUCAAAGUAGUAAACAUGGAGUUCCCGGGCCUGUCUAGACACUGCUUGAACUCAGCUUGUCUGUUUUGGCAAAGACAACAGCUGCAUCAUAAUGUUACAGGCCUUUUCAAACCACACAGAUAUACACUGGAGGAGCAUGUCAGUACACUUGCACACAAGUAUCCAUGCAUGCAUAUACGGGGGGGGGGGAAUAAGCACACAAAAAUCAGCUGGGGAGAAAAACAGUAUAUAUCAAGUAAGUAGGGCUUCAGUCAAAUGACAGUAUCAUUGAACUUACUGGGGUGCACUUUAUCCAGGUGGGACCUGGAUGAAGGCAGGCUGAGGCUGAUCCGACAGUGACCCAUCUGCCCCAACAGAGCAGCCUCCAUUACUUUUCAGUAAACCUGUAUGGAAUUGUGCUGUAAAUAAUUGUAUCCUAGGCUGAAAAAUGAUUAUUUUGUGUUUCAUAAAUUAUGUCCUAUUUCUAGCAUAACUGAAUAAGGAAAAAGGUUACGAUAACCCUGUAAUAUAAGCAGUUUUUAAAACAACAACAUAUAGCUUUGAACAAGAGAUUAUAAACGGCUUCUUGCUUGCUUUUCACAUUGAAGUUAAUUUCAUAAGCCUUCAUCGUAGGUUGCAAUCCAAGGCCAUGUUCAUGCCCACAGUUCAACACUGUUAAUGUAAUGAUGAUGGCAAAAUAUAUUUAUAUUUUAGUUUCUAUACAAGCUUUUUUCUCACUACAGUUUUUUGCACUUGAUUUUCUUUCUUUGAAUGGAAUUUCUUUCAUUCUUUCAUUCUUUGAAUGGAUUUUCUUUCUUUCCAUGAGGGGGGGGGGCGGGGGUGUGGAGAAUUGAAAGGAAAUUUGUUUCAGAAAAUCCUUCUGACACCUAAAAUUCUGUAUAAACACAGUUUGCACGGAAAGAGCAUACAGCAUGACCUAUGCUCCCUUGUUUGCUUGUUUUAUUUGAUUUCUAACUCACCUUUCCACCAAGAGGCUCAAGCCAGAGUGCAUGGUUCUCUUCCCUCCGCAUUUCAUUUUUACACUAACCCUGUGAAGCAGGUUAGACUGAGCAAUUUUAACUGGCCCAAUUCAAGUGUCACACACUUAAAUGGCCAGUUGAACCUUGGUCUCACGGUCCUAGACCAACACCCUAACCACUACACUGUCAAAGAAGAACACAAUUCUGGGAGUUGCUAAAACCAAUAAAACCACAAUUAAUGCCAAAAGUGUUUAUCUGCAGUGAUCGGCUAACAAGGGAAAUACCCUUCCCCUCACAACCAAAAGAAUGACAAGGACAAAGUGCAGAAAAUCAAAUCAUAUCGAGGCCCAAUAUAUCUGGGAGAAUUAAGAAUGUCCUCACCAGAAGUCUAAAAGCUGACAAUGUUGGAGCAGGCUGAUGGUGAACCGGUCUGGGGUGAGGGGAUACAACAAUUGAAAAGUCCGGUUCUCUUGUUGCCAUCCUUCAAGCUUGCCUCAUAGGAGGCACAUGGAUAAGGACCUCCAAUAACUAUUGUAGGGUUCAGACAUGAGGAAAUGCAAAGACCCCAGCCCUAUUAAGUUUUAUCCAUCAAAACCAGCACUUUGAACUGAGCCCAGGAACCCAGAGGAUUGAUGGACUCUCCUUGACUGGAUUUUCUUCUGAGCAGGGGUGGUGCUGGAAUAAAUGGCCUAAAUUCAAUUCAUUUUAUGUUUCGGUGUCCCCUCUUUCCUUAUUUGAGCUAUCAUUGUUGCCGUACUCAUUGUAGCUAGUCAAAUAAUCUACUGCCAAGUUUUGGGAACUAUUCUUAAGAGAGUAGUUAUAAUUCUGGCUUUUUCUGGCAGCUGUUCAUUUUGCUAGUGUUACCUGUGGAUCAAUAGCAGGACUCUAGCAGUAAUAUAUUCUCUGGGGCAGCUUGUUCUUUGACUUACAGCCAAUUCCAAUAUGGUGUGUGUGUGUGUGUGUGUGUGUGUGUGUGACAAAGAGAGAGUGAGAGAGAGUGGGGAUCCCUUUUGUAGAGGUACAAGAAGGGGGAAAGUUGUACCAUAACUGAAAAUCUUUGAAGAGUCUGCAAAAAAGGAAAGAAAAGAAAAGAAACUUACAAGAAUUUAGUAUCGUAUUCU